rnacentral:rRNA from 1 species
GCUUCGGAAUCUGCCCAAUGGUGGGGAAUAACCAGCCGAAAGGUUGGGUAAUAUCCGCAUACGCACUACGGUGGAAAGCGGGGGAUCGUCAGACUCGCGCCGUUGAUGAGCCGAAUCGGAUUAGCUAGUUCGUAGGGUAAUCGUGUCGCUACAAGGCUGUACGAGUCCGUAGUCUGNGUCUGUGUAGGACGCACCAGCCACACUGGGACUGAGACACGGUCCCAAACUCCUAUACGGGAGGCAGCAGUGGGGAAUAUUGGACAAUGGGGGUAAACCCUGAUCCAGCGUACGCCGCUGUGAUGUGAUGAAGGCCUUCGGGUUGUAAACCACUGUCACCAGUUAAGAAAAGGUACGUCGUGAAUAACGGCGUACUUUGACAAAGGCUGGAGAGGAAGCCACGGCUAACUUCGUGCCAGCAGCCGCGG